rnacentral:rRNA from 1 species
GACGAACGCUGGCGGCGUGCUUAACACAUGCAAGUCGAACGGAAAGGCCCUGCUUUUGUGGGGUGCUCGAGUGGCGAACGGGUGGGUAACACGUGAGUAACCUGCCCUUGACUUUGGGAUAACUUCAGGAAACUGGGGCUAAUACCGGAUAGGAGCUCCUGCUGCAUGGUGGGGGUUGGAAAGUUUCGGCGGUUGGGGAUGGACUCGCGGCUUAUCAGCUUGUUGGUGGGGUAGUGGCUUACCAAGGCUUUGACGGGUAGCCGGCCUGAGAGGGUGACCGGCCACAUUGGGACUGAGAUACGGCCCAGACUCCUACGGGAGGCAGCAGUGGGGAAUAUUGCACAAUGGGCGGAAGCCUGAUGCAGCAACGCCGCGUGCGGGAUGACGGCCUUCGGGUGGUAAACCGCUUUCGCCUGUGACGAAGCGUGAGUGACGGUAAUGGGUAAAGAAGCACCGGCUAACUACGU